rnacentral:rRNA from 1 species
AUUGAACGCUGGCGGCAGGCCUAACACAUGCAAGUCGAACGAGUGGCGGACGGGUGAGUAAUGUCUGGGAAACUGCCUGAUGGCGGGGGAUAACUACUGGAAACGGUAGCUAAUACCGCAUACCAUCGGAUUUGCCCAGAUGGGAUUAGCUAGUGGGUGGGGUAAAGACUCACCUAGGCGACGAUCCCUAGCUGGUUUGAGAGGAUGACCAGCCAGACUGGGACUCGGACACGGUCCAGACUCCUACGGGGGGCAGCAGGGGGGAAUAUUGGGAAAUGGGGGCAAGCCCGAUGCAGCCAUGCCGGGUGUAUUAAGAAGGCCUUCGGGGUUUAAAGUACUUUCAGCGGGGAGGCGUUACCCGCAGAAGAAGCACCGGCUAACUCCGUGCCAGCAGCCGCGGUAAUAC